UCCCGUGUGGUCUAGUGGCUAGGAUACGCGGCUCUCACCCGCGGGCCCGGGUUCGAUUCCCGGCAGGGGAA
rnacentral:tRNA from 1 species